CACCGGCUGCCGCCUUCCUCCUCUUCCUCCUCCGUGCCAGCAGACGACGACUGCCAGAGCGGCGACGACGCCACCGCCGCCGCCGCCAUCCGACCGCCGCAGCCGCCGACCCUCCUCGCGUAGGACGCCGGCCGCCGUGCCGGUGAGAUGCGCGCCGCCACCAACACAGACGAGGCGUCGGCGGCUGCCACCGCUGCUACAAGGGAGGGCCCUCUCCGGAACACGAGGGUCUUCGCGCGCAAGCACAAGUAAGACCGGCGCAGCGCAGCCCAGCCCCAGCGCCGCCUCCGGAUUCCCUCGAGGGCAGCCGCGGCAGCGGCGGUGGAAAGUGGUGGCUCGCCCACGGUGGACGACGUCCCCAUUCACCGAGCAACAGCAACAACGAGUCCGCCACCACGGCACACCGCCAUCCCCACACCACGGAAGCGGUGCGCGGCAGCCUCUCCGGGUUUCCGGCACGCAAUCUCAAGCGCAACACGCACGCACGCACACACACACACACACACACACACACACACACACACACACACUCGCACACUCGCCGACACAUGUAUACGAGAGAGAAAAAAAAAGGAACUCUAGAAGCCAGACGCAAAGAGAACCUCGUCCCCUCUCUGAGUGUUCUAUACAGCGAGACGGUGUUAGACAAUCGGCCCUCUGGCGCGAUGGGGACACGUGUUAGCAACUCGCGCUCGUCCGAGACAAGAAGGCGAGCUCCAGUUGUCGAAUCUGCUGCCUCACGACCGUGUGCCCUGAUACUUGGUGCUCUGAUUGCCUCUUCCAGAGACUAGGAGUUGGCAAAAAAGCCGUAUUCGUGUGAUAAUGAAACUUCACUGUGUAAUUCUCUUCUUUUCCCAACUUCAACCGGAGCUAUCUCGGCUGCAGAUGUGCAAAUGUGGGGUAAUCCGACCCGAUAGGGGAAUCUCCCUGGCCGUCUAAUAAAUGCAAACGCAGUCAAAUUUUCAGCGCACCCAUACAGACUACUCGCAAGUGGCUUUGCAUUCGUUACCGCGAACUUUCGAUGCUCUGAGGAAUACCAGACAUUCAGUCAUAACUGUCGUUCUUGUUGCAAUUCGUGUCCCUAAAGCUAGAGAAACGCAUAUGACAUCCGUUCAGAUCGUUUGCUUCUACAUCUAAAUAAUAAAAAAGGAGCAGUUCACAAGUAUACAAGCGUGCCCAAACUUGCUUGCGGCUAUCGCCGAAGAAUUCACCUGUUGUUGUUGCACCAGGCAAUGGUAUCGCAAAGAGAACUCAAAAGUGAGCAACGAAAGAAGAGUCGUUGAAAGUAAUUGAAGGACUACCCUAUAUGUCUAAGCAAGAUUUCGUGAGGCAAGCGAAAUGUUUCCGCCUGAUAGUUUACUCAAGUUAAGCUUGCUGUCCCAUCUGAGUAUUACAAGUGCCCAGAAGAGCUGCGUGUUUUCAAGCGGUAUCAUGCGGAUGAAAAUAAGAGAAAUAAAGAAAAAGAAAAGAAUGUACCCAAGCGGGUCCAGCUAUAGAUACUGUUGACUCCUCGACACGGUUCUCUGGCGUCUGGCGCGAAGGCGCAGCAUAGAAAUAAAACAGGAUAUAUGUACGGCAAGAGGCCGAAUAAUCCAGCCUUUUGAAGGCAUAACACUCCCACACACAGACAAACGGAGGCAUUUAACACUACACGCACAAAACCAAGAACACGUCGACGUAAACAGCACACACCAUGCAGGGAAGAGAAAGAAAAAAAAACAACUAAAACAAAAAUGAGAAGAAGAAGUUGAAGAAGAAGAAGAAGGCUUCUGCUACAACGACGGAGGAUACCACCCCUUCGUGGAACAUUUCGUUUCUUCGACUAGUUCUUCGUCGUCUAGGUAUCGAGGUGGGCCAAUCCCAGUGCUUCCUUCGCGACGACGCCAACAACAUAAAAGCGCGCCGCGCAACCACACCGCCGUGAAAAAAAAAGAAAACGGGUGAAAGAGAGAGAGAGGAAGAGAGAGAAAGAAAAUGUUGUGCCGGAGACCCGCGGGGAGAAGUAGCAGUGCCGACGCUGCCGCCGCAUCAAAACAGAAGACGACGAAGACAACCCGUGUGCCUCCACUCAGCCACCGUACGACGCCAACAAAGAGAGAGCAACAUCGCCAAAAAAAAAAAAAAAAAGAACACACAGUGCGGAAAGGAGACGCUGAUCCUAGUGUACAGAGACUGAGAGCCCGCCACCACAACACAGCCGAAAGAGGAAGAAAAAAAAAAGAAACACUUUGCACGUGCGCGAGACGGCAGCGCCGCCUCCGCUUAAGGGCUCAAGACUCUUGUGUUUCCCAUCCCCCCACCGACCUCCCGGUUAUCGGGAGAGUGAGAGAGACAGCUUAUACGAUAUAUAUAUAUAUAUAUAUAUAUGUACAUGUAUAUGGUGUAUAUGUAUACAUACGUGUGCGCGAAGACGGGAGCAGGCUAUAGCAGCAGAAAACACCGACGAAUUCCAAAGCUAGGUCAACUCUUGCCAUUGUUGCUUCGUUUUUCGUUUUUCGUUUCUGCAUUGCGCUGCACAGCCGACACACACAUACGCGACGGCGCAGUUGGGCACACAUACGCACGCGCGCACACGCAAAGCGAAGCCUCGGCCAGCUGCGAGCGCGACGCCGCCUUGUGGCACACUCCCUCACUCCUAGCUGAUUCUCUACUCCACGCACACAACGGUACUUGUGCGACCACGCAUGGCCGCAAGGCACGUUUGCUUUGUCCCUAAAGUGAUCACAAGUUCUAUUUGCAGCGUAAGGUACGCGACGAGUGUAGGUCGUCAAAGGAUAUAUAGCCGUGCCAUCGUAACCUAGAUUCGAAUUCAAAAGACCGUUCGUGUGCAAAAUCGCUACGUAAAAGCUUAUUGAAGCCAGUCUUGCCAGCGGGAAAGACGAGCACGAACGCGCUCGGCCAUUGCCAAGCAGUUAUGAACAAAACGGUGAAGCUGUAAACACUGGCCGUCUCCCAACGGGUGUCCUGGUAAGGACUAUUUGAACUUCGGGUACUCUGGCACCGGUAAGGCGUCUCACCUAACCAACCCACUGCAGAAGGUGCAGUCAAACUUCCGCAUAGUAGCAUUGCGUACAGUGAAUAUCCGCUUAUAGUGCAGUAAAUGUAACCCUCGGUUCUCAUAGUGUUUCUACACUAUAUAUGACGAGAAAAAUGGAUGCAGUGAGGUUCAGAUUCCAGCGAGCCAGUAACAACCAACACUAGCGACCUUAACAGCGUUAUAACACGUUAGAAACGCAAUCAUUGUUUUUGACCAUUGUGUUACUAUCCGAGCCAACCGAACCUAAAGACCAUUAUUGGUUAGGAGUGUGGUGCGCGGAAAACACACUUCAGUCUGCUAUGGGUCUACAUUUAUAGUUUGCGCACUUACUCGUCUUUUCAACGCUUCGAAGCGGGGCUGUUGAGUGAGAUACUCCGGCUUAACUCUGCUUAUUAUGAGACAAUGCGGCAUAUAUUUAUAUUAUUCAUUACUGGUUUAUGAUGUCGACGUUAUGCCCCACUUCGAAUUUCAAUAUAGCUCGUAUACGCAGAGCCGAGUGAGCAAGAUUUGCCGUAUGCCUUCAUGCGAACGGCGCAGCCAACCCCCAGGAACAUGUGCACGGCAUGCCUGUUUUACGACAUAGAAAACGUACAGGCCGUUCUCGCUACGGCACUACGUCCGGAUUUAAAUUGAUAGCUGCAAACGGUCAGCUUUCAGUAUCACGUUAAUUAUUGCCAAACGCGCAAUGGACUGGACAGUGACGCAACGUGGAGAAGCAAACUUUACAAAGACGGAAAGGGCUGGAACGUAAGCCUGCGGCGCUCAAGCGUCUUGAUCUCAGCUUGAAGCGCUAACGCCGAGGAUUACAUUAAGGGAAAGGUACGCGAAAUGCUAGGCUUUUUAGGAGCGCUCAGUUUGAUGCUUUGACAGAAACCAUUGGAAAGCGUCUGCUUGCGCUAUGCGUCUCUGGGGGAUACAUGAGCAAGGCUGAUUUCCAUAACAGGAAUUGCUGAAUUCUGGGCUCUUACCUGCUAAAACCACGAUUUGAUUAUGAGGCAAAAUUAAUUUUGACCACCAGGGGAUAGUUAACGUGCCCCAAUGCACAGAACACGGGCGUUCUUGCACUUUGCCCCCCAUCGAAAUGCGGCCGGAUUCGAUCCCGCGACCUCGUUCUUGGCAGCGCAAAGCCAUAGCCGCUAAGCCACCGCGGCAGGUACAGCAAUGACUGGCAAGGAGAAGGUUUCACUUCUUCAAGAUCCACGGCCGACAAAUCAACCUCAAGCCUCGUAUUACGACGCAGACAAAUGAAAGCACGGUAUGACGACACGCUAGCACAUGAAUUCGGCGGCCUCGAAUGAAGUAAGAAAAAAAUAAAGAAAGAAAAGGUGGACAGCUUGGAAAGGUGGGUUAGAAAAACGAGUCCUCGCAGAGCAGCGUAAGAGUCGCGCAACUUGACCAUUUCAGCAAAAUUAACAUAUCGACGUACUAAACACCCCCAGCGCGGUCUGCAAAUAUGGUACCAAUAUUUCCUACACUGUACGAGAGUCGGACAUGAAGUGGUAUCGUCAUGCAACGCAGCUACGAAUGGGAGAGCAGGAGGAAUAAUAAACCGGACAAGUUGGUAGAGAUUCAUGUUUGAAUCGUAGCGCAAAAACCUACACAGGACAAAAAAAAAAUAACAGAACGACCGGACAGCACUUUGUCUGCUCAUUCUCUGUCUUUCUUUCGUCCUGUGCAGAUCUUCGCGCCAUCCUUCAAACACGAAUGCAAGGUGAUGCCCUUGCAGGAACCAAAACACGACAGACAGACAGUGGCGCGUCUCUUCCCUUAUUGUAGCAGCCGCAGGUGCGAGACACGGGAGCGAGAGGAGACCCCCCCCCCCCCCCCUCACCACACACACACGCGCAGACAAAUAAACCGCCAAGAUUUAGAGCACUGCGCGCAACCAGGCGGAGGCUGCCAGAGGGGCAGGCGUUUUCUCGGACGUGUCACAAUAACUGUCACUGCACCGCGGCGCAAACGAAAGAAAGUGACCAUGCAUGGAAGUGGUAACGGGUGGGCGAGUGCGGGCAGAAAACGAAGCUUCUUCCGACGAACGGACUUCUCGCCCAUUGCCGUCCCUUCGUUUUUUUUUUUCUUCCCCUUCUGCCGCGCGACUGCGUCGGCUCCGACUGACUGACCGCGCUGCUGGCCGCUCCACGAGCGCUGGGGGUGCCGGCCAUUUGUCACUGUCCGUCGCUAUUGGUCACCGUGGCGUUAACGUCAGCGCGCUCGCCGUGGUGGCCCCGGCCAAAGGCAGUGCCUCCCUGCUCCCACAAACCUCUUUUCCCCGAGGCGGCAAAGGCGCCUGUCUGCUCUACAGAGAACGGAGGGAACUAGCUUGCUAGGCCUCAGCGUUGCGUUGCCACUGGAAAAAAAGAAGAGCCGGUGGACGCUAAGGGGAGGAGGCGGGUGGUAGGGGGGAAGUGGGCAAUGCCGGCUGAGCGAGACGAAAUCAAGAGAAGGGGGGGGGGGGGGGGGAUUGUGCGGCGCCGCAUAGGCCCGAGACGGCGCGCACAAAGGGCGGCAGGCGAAUUGGAGCAGAAAGAAGAAAAAAAGGGAGAAAAUGAGGAACAAUCAAAUUGAGAGAGGGAAUGACUCGAUCGCAUAUAGGCGGACGGCCACGUGCUUACUCGUGGAGCGGGUAAAGCAAAAAAAAUAAGUGGGGAGAAGUAGGGAGAUAAGGGGAAGAGCGAAGGAGGUAAAGGAAGGCAAGUGGAUGCUUCUAUUAUCAAGCAAAUCCCGCUCCACGACAGUAAACCCCGUUCGGCGCGCAGGAAGCGACUGCGACCCCCCUCCCUAUAAACGGGGCCGCACGACGUUCGGCUGCGAACCGCCUUCACAAAAGCGAGCGCCGUGCGCAGAGGGAACGAUUGUGCGAGCGCCCCUCGCCGGCAGCGCCGAGCAGCAGCAGUACGCUCGAGACUUGCUCGGUAUCGGCCCGAAGAGCGCCACUGCGAAGGAAAUCAAAGGAACGAAGCUCGCGCAGUUGCCGCACCGCGCGCGUUUUGCGUUGUAUGCGCCGGAGUUCGGGUGGUCGAAUGGAGUCCUUUCUACGUUGCUGUGAACUAGCUGUGCCCGCCGGCUUCCCCUUCAGCCACGGCUGUGCAUUUAUCUCCUUUUGACGCCGCUGACUCGCGGUCGCUUUCCACUGCAGCUUGCUGUGGCCUCGAGCCUAAAAAGAACCGCAAAAUUGUAUCUCUUCACGGCGUAUCUGCCAAAUCGUCUUGGCAAAAUUAGCGAUUAUUGCCUUAAUUCGCGUUACUUGUUUAUCAAUUCGUUUAUCGUUUUAAUCUGUCCAGCAUUACGUGCCUCCGUGUAUAUCCCUCCUUCACCCCCUCCCCCCCCCUUUCUUUCAUUCGCUCUCGUGAAGAAACGACAAUGAAACAUGUGGCACACACUCAUUUAGAAUAUCCAAUUGCUGAGGAAGAGCCGUAAAGGUCAAUCAAGAGAAAGAGUAGUAUGUUAAAAAAGAAAGGUUCUUACUUUUCCUUUCUGCACUUUUCUUUUGUUUUAAUCGGCAGAAUCAAAUUUCGGACGCCGGGUGCCUAUACACAAGAACACGCACAGAGAGAAAAAGAGAGAGAGAGGGAGAAGAAGCGACUUAUCUGCAGCGUAGCGGCACGUAACCAAUAUACUACGGUACGUGUGGGCGAAGACAAGUUUGAACAGUUGGACUGAAAGAAGAAAAAAACUAAGGCGGAAGGAGAAAAGGCAAGGACAUCGCUUUGUCUGUCUAAAUCUGUCCUCUGUUUAUUUUUUCAGUUCACCUGUUCAAACUCGUCUUAGCUAUGAACCAACUAGCUCAGUUGAAUAUUCUGACACGUGGGCACUUUCCCAGUCAGGCACAGGAAAGUUAGACAUCCAGAAAGAGAGCGUUUAUACGUGCGCUUAUGCGAGCCGCAGUUAAUGCCAGAGAGGGUUUCAUCAUCGGAUUAUAGUGCCGUCGCCAGCCGCUGCAAGAACUUCCACGUGGAUCUUCGCGACCAUGCCUUUAUUGAUUUCAUCGUAAACCUUAACCCCGGUCACGCUUGCUGGCGCAAUUCCUGUCAGACUUUUCUAGGGAUGAAUUAGUACUAACAUAACAUUUCCUACAUUUGCCUCUCUUUUUUUUUGCGUUAAUGCAGACUCAUACUUUCGACAAUGCGGGAAAAGAAAAUAUUACCAAGCGUCAAAGCAUUCUAAAUAAUUUGCUAUAAUACUUAUUUCUAUGAACCGGUUUCAGUUUAGUUAUCCAGGAGAGGAAUGUGUAACGAAGUCAUGAUGCAAAAUGGGGUGUCUCAAACGUGGCGACCAAGACGUAUUUCGAGCUCCGCAAUCUCUUCCGGCGCAUGUGGUGUGCAAAAAGCACAGCCUUCGAGAUUCGUUGCUGUCACUCAGGGCCGACCGCACAGCUGGCGCGUGGAUUUGGGCUCCACAUAUUGCUCGCUCCGUACUUGCGAACGCCGCCGCUGCUGUCACGCGUGAAUGCGCAUCACUCUCGGUUAUUUAUUUAUUUAUUUGUUAGCGAACUCGUCCUACUUAACCUUAAAACUGAACGGCAUCAGUAAAUUUUUGUCUUUGUCAUGACGAAACGAUACAAAGUCGAUUACGCCAGGUCCAGCAUUUCGAGAUUAUUAAAAUAAAAUUUAUUGUGUUUCCCAACCCUCACACAAUUGCUCAGGCGAGAGAGAAGUGGUGUGGUAGAUCCUCAGCAAUUUCUAAAAUAUGCGUCAGUAAUCAUUUAAGGUUUGCGUUGUACGUGCAUCCUUUCGUUACGGUGCGCAUGCGUAGUAGUGGUGCAACCGUGGUCCUCGAACAUCGUGGAGAUGAAGCCUUUGUGAGCAUAUGGGCUCAAAUAUGCCGGGGCACGCGCGCACAUUCUUGUGCGUGUGUGUCCCAUGGCCCAUUAUUCGCAUAAGACAUACCACGGACGCCGAGGUGUCAAGCGAGAACGACCAAUGAUUGCCCGAAAGGGCAAAAAGAAUUUGCACUGUUCGCAACAAACCGCUUCACUACAUGCUACUAUUUCUAGAUCAUGCGUACAUUUUAAUUUUACGAAGAAACGCGGCAUUCGCAGGCAAAAUCGGCAAAAAUUUUAGGGCAGAAUGAGAAUCACUUUGCCUGCUCACCUUCUCUGCUCAAAGAACCAGGGACUGAUAAAAAUAAAACUAAGUGCUUGUUCCUGUUCUAGAUUGAGGAGGAGGAGAGGAUAAGUAGACGGAAAGAGAGGGCAGUUAGACGCUCUGUCUUAACGCAAGCAACUGAAAAUGAGCGUACUCCCUUCUUUAUCAGAGAACGCCUGAUUCAGCGAGUCGCUCUCGACAGAUGGACAAAUAACGCCCGAAUAUUCCUAAAUGCAAACUCAUGUGUCCUACUACGAGGAAUUAAAGAAGUGUCGUACAAAAGCGUGAAUGAUCUUGGAGGAAGCGAGACGCGUCGAAUCUAGUGUGGUUGACACGUUCUGAGGAUGGGAGGAUGGUGAGGGGACUUAAGUUUAGCGUGCGUCGAUUGCAUUAUCAAGAAUAACAUACUGCAUUCCAUUCAAACCCGGUGUGCUUCCCUGCGACACUUGCGUGUCGCAAGACAAAAAUGCUUGUCACUCUAUCAUCCAGCACUGCUGAAAUUGUGGCAUUAACCAGCACCGUUUGCCAACAAACCGUCGGGCACUUGUCAAUCGGUAAAGAACAAUUAAGGCUGCGUUCAUUAUUGUUAUUAGUAGUAGUAUUAUCGUCGUGAUAUUGAGGUCACAGCAAACUUGGGCAUAGCCUUCGCACACAUUUCCCCGACACAGCCCGCCCCACUAGAGGCCAAGCCAAAACAAAGGCGAAAUCAAGUCAGGAACAAGAAAGAUGCGGUUGUGUGGGUACACUGGUCACAGACGCCUUUGAGGAAAAAAAAGUAUAUCUAAUAAAGAGAGAGGACGUCGAGUUAUCAUCACAACGCGAGUGAGUGUGCCGCACGCGGCGUCGACACAUUGUGAAAUGAAAUUUGCCAGGGCGUGUCCACGGUCUCGAUUGAAACCCCCCCAGCGACGUCCAAAAUGACGAGCAAGAAAAAAAAAAGAAAGAAAGAUCGUAAAAAUAAUAAUAAAAAAAGUGUGAUCGCUCGUCGUCACGCAUGCGACUGCUCUAAGCGCGUCAACGUCGCGUCGUCAUCGGCGACGUCCCCCAAAGCAGCAGCGACAGCGAGGGACGCAAGUGCCACCGCUGGCGACGUCCGGAAACAAGACACGACAGUGGAGAGAGACAACGCAGCUACACCGUCAAGACCCCCCCCCCCCCCGAGGCUGUGUGUGUGUGUGUGGCGCGCGUUUGUGCGCGUGCGUGUGUGUGAGCGAGUGCGCAUGUUUGUGCGCCGCGACGAGAACAAACACACAGACAUAUAACAAGAAUGGACAACCGGGCCGGUGGACGGAUUAACGCCAUUUUCGCGUACCGGUGUUCAUUGUAGUGAUGUUUACGACGAUACGGUUCUUCUUCUUCUUUCUUUUCUCUUUCCUUUUUGUUCUCUCUCUAUUUCCUGGAGUAGAUGAAGAUGACGACCCACGGCUUAUCGCUUUUCGUGUUGUCGUGUGUGCGCGUGCGCGCUCGACUGUCUUCUCUCUCCGCUUCUACCUGCUUUUUUUUUUUCUUUCCUGGGUGGAAAAGAAAAGCGAGAAAAAAUCCAGUGACACAGCUACAGAGUGAGAGGAGGAGGACACAAAAAUUUUCAUCAUCUGCUUGUGAGAUUUGUUAGCCAUACGUCCAUUUAUGAGUACCUGAUUUCCCUGUGGUGGUAGUGGUGGUGGUGGUGAUGCAUGGUGGUGGUGGUGGUGGUGGUGGUAGUGGUGUGUGUGGCAAACAAAUUUUCGCCGUGUCCGCGUGUGCGUGUGUGUUCGCUGCCCCGCGUGUGAAAACGAAACCACACACACACAAAAAAAAAGAAGGCAACGUGUACUACAGUACUAUUUGCCUUCGCCCUCUACCUUCUUGGUGGUCGUCUCCCUCUCUCGCUCUCUGUGCUCCAAGUGGGAGGGAGCGGCACGAGAGAGUGAAGCGAGGUUUCAGAUGAUGAUGUCGAAACACAAUCCCGCUCACUUGCGAGGAGUGACUUUUCAGUCAUACGGUCGGGCGCGAAAGAAGAAAAAGAAAGAAUGAUGUGAACACACACGCACACACUCGUACACAUAAACAAAUGCAGGUGACGUGGACUGGUAAUAACUCUAUACCGCAAGAAAAAAAAAGAAAAAAAACAGGAAACCAAGUGGGCACACGCAGCCUGUUUUCCAUGUUUUUAGGUUUUCGAAGAAAGAGUUCUUGUAUAGUAUACUAUGUAUAGUUUUUGCUGUUUCCGUUUGUUCAUUGAAGUAUUGUUGUUUCUUCGAGGGUGCGUUAUUAUCUGUAUAGAGGCGUAAUGAGCGUGCUUCGGCGCGCUUCGUUUGGCAGCAGCGCCUGCCGCCGUGCUCUCGACGUUGCGGACGCGUUUGCGCGGUCACGCCCGGUUCGCGUAGGGAGCGCUGCGUUCGGAACCCCGGCCCGACCAGAGCUUCCACAAGCAUCUUCUGGCGCGCUUCGUUGCAGCCUUCUUCGAGCGAGCGUCAGUGAAAUGAAAGAAACCUUUGCUUUAGAGGGUGACAUGCCCGUUUUAAAAAGCAGAAUUUAAAAUUUGAAAAAAAAGACGCCUCCAGGCGUUACCUGUACACGGCUACCAAUUCAAAGUCAGCAACACCUGGGCUGUGUCGUACCGAUUUAUGCCAGAUUACCAGAGAGUUAGCGACUUCGUUGCAGUACUGCAGCGCACGUCGAGUUUCAGGACACGCGUUCUCUACCUCAUGACGCCACGCAUGAACAUGAAAAUGCCGCUAAUUUGCAUGCCUAUGCGUCACGCAUCCUUGUGAAAACAAGGUGGCACCAAUGCUUUACUUGUAAUUCAAGACAGCGUGCCAGUUAGGGCUAACGCAGUCUUCUUCUUUAUGAGGAACACCAGUGGUAGCGCGAACUAGGACAACGGCGUAGUAGACAGAGCUGACACCUCUGAAUGAACUAAGCCAGCAACAAGCCUCUGUUUUUUUCUUUUUUAAGCUGUGCCACAUUUUGUGCCAUAUUUCGCUACGCAUGCCUCGUUAAAGUCAUGAAUUCCAAGAGAGGCGUAUACACAAAACCAAGAAGGAUGCAAAAAGCAGCCUACGCAGGAGACGUACGUUUAAGUACGACUGCAGACGUCGCAUGGGAGAAACUGCAUGUGUGAUGACAGCGUUCUUAUUGGGCACAGUACCGAAACGGCCGAUCCGACAUAAGCGCUUCGCAGACUGGGCUCGCGACCGCGCAGCGCUCUCUGACGGUAGGAACGAGAGCACGCAUAUAGUUAUAUUCACCGCUAUAGAGUGUUGAAUCAAACAGUGAGGCUGCGUUCAAUCCCUCAGACUUCGGCAAGGGUACAAUGCACGAGCGAACGAAGUGCGGCAGAACGACAAGCGACAACGUGACCUAAAAGCCAACAGGUGGCCUGCACUGGUUCCACUAUGGUCGCCAUGUUAGAAAACCGUUGCCUGCCUUCGUUUCAUUUUUGUCUUUUUUUCGUCCACUUAACUCCACCAACUUUGUGGAACCUGCGAGUAGCACUGCAACGUGGCGUGACGUCAGAGGCGUGACGUCACGGGGAACCCACUGACGCCAUCGCGGCCGCAUGUUGGAGUACGAGUAGCACAAUAGCAAGUUGCACCUUCUAAACCUGAGCCCAUAUUCAUAAAGCGGUUAGUUCGCCACAGCCGGGUUUCUUUUUCCCUGCUUUUCCUUUUUUUUUAAGGAACUGGCGUUGCUCAACCUUGAUUACGGAAUUCGUGUUAUCGAAGGCCGCCGGCCUCUGGCGAACGAUCGAAAAGCUUGCCCAAGAGAGACUCCGAUUCUCUCCUUUCCAGUAUCACUGCAAGGAGUGCGAGGGGGGUUCCAGCACGGCGUCGGUGGCUCAGAGUGCAAGCUAUCUAUAGGUGCAAGCGUGUGGCUGCUUUCUUUGUAUCGGUAUGCCGGGACUCUGUUCUGUUCUCGUUCUCGACCUCCGGGUAAACCGUGUAGAUCACGACUGCAGCCACACAGCUAUCGUUCAACCGCAUCUUGUGCAUAACGCGCACGCCGUCACUCUUGGCGACGUGGGGCGGACGCGCGGUCACGUGCUUCUGCCGUUGGCGUCUGGGCGAUUGAGCGCAGUCCUGCGUUCCCUCUUUUUUCCUUUUGUUAAUUGAAUGUUAAGCGAGAAAGAGAGAGAGAACGCUGUGUGCACGGUGCGUUUUUUCAGAGUUACCUAUUGACAGAGCUCUAUAGAACCAAUGUUUACAAAUAGAAUGGCAACUAUAUCGAACGAGUUUGCAACAAAACAAAAUGAAGGCGAGAGAGAGAGAGAGAGAAGUUCGAGAGAAGCAAAAAAAAAAAAGGUCCCAGCUGCACGAGCACAGACGCAGCAGAGUACACCGCCUACGCAUCGCCGCUGGUGAUAAGCGGCACAGCUGUAGAGCUAUAGCGCAAUUUAAAUACACCCCUUAUCCUCCUCCUAAGCGAGUGAAAUGAAAUCCCAGUGAAGAACGAUACCGUGUACCUUAUGGUAAAACGCGAUGUUUACCAAAACAUUGCUUAUCUAGUUCUUUUUCUUUCUUUCGGAAUUGCGGUACACGCUUAAGCCGCGAAUGUUUUUAGCCCAUUUAUACCAGUGCACUGCUUAGCUUGAAAGGGUAGCUUUUUGGUCAAACUGGGUUCUCUUUGUGGCACACAUGAAACGCGCACUCCUCAACUUAGCAGCUGUGCUCUUUUUUUAUUAUUAUUAUUUCUAAGGGGGGGCGGGGACAUGCAUCGUCCAAUCUUCGGGCUAUAGCCUAAAAACGUUAUGCUCCGCAAAGCAGCAUCCACGGCGCUUGCAAAUGUACAGACCUUAUUAACCACGUGAGUGGUGUCGUUACUAAAGCCGUACAGAUUAAGCCAACUCGUCAGCCCGAAAGCACGUGCAAACGCCCCAUUUUUACUCGUCGCGUGCUUCGGCUGCGUACGCUGUUUUCACAAAUCAAAGCAACGAAAUGUUAAUACGAGCUGGGCUACCGAGCCAGCUGCAGUGAGGUACAAAAUUCACAGAUCCCCAAUACGUUGAGUGCGUUGUUUUGAGACUGCUCUUGUAUCCAGCGGCCCAGUCGCGCGCGUAUAGUCACAUUGUCAUAUUGAUAGGGCACUGCGCAAGCGCUGAACGUUAAAAGUAGAACACGCACGCUGGCUACGUCUGCUCACUGCCCGCAUGUAAGGCCGAGCAUUUUAUGAGCCCGGCUCAGUUGUCCGUAGGUUGCGCCUGGCUUCUCUAGUUGAGCACUUGUUAUGCUGUGCUCUACUGCGAAACCAGCGCUUUCACAGGGGGCUACGACGACUGUACUAAGCUUAAUUCGGAGCUCAGCGGCGCCUCGAACGGUGUGAACUAGCUGCGUAUGGACUCGUGCAUCUUUGAUCCAUCCUAGGUCUUCAGCAAUCAUAUGCAAGCGUUCAUGAGAAAAAAAAAAUGAGGUGGAGAGAAGAUGAGGAACAAGCUUGUUAUGUAUAAUGUUCCGGGAAAUGGAAGUAAUAAACCGAGAGACAAUGCUAUA